GGCCACUCUAGGAAACUAAAAUACCCUCUCUACUCUUUCUUGCAUUGCUAAUAAUCUCAACACAACUCAGCAUUUUCUUCUAUGGGAAGCCUUCCUUGCACUUUCCCAUCCCUAAACCAUUCCCCCUUAAUUACAAGUCUUUCCUCUGUUGUCUCAUUGCAUUCUAAAGUCUUUAUUAUAAUGCAUUGCUAUGCAGUCAUCUUUUUUUUUUUUUUUUGGUCUCUUUAGUAAGAGUACUGUAGAGAGUGAGUGGGUGCCUGGUAGUCUCAGUAUCCUGCAUGGUGCUGGCAAGAAGAAAAAGAAGUACAGUUAUUGUUUGGUGAAUGCUAACAUGCCUCUAAAGAAAUGUGAUUUUUAUUUCGUGUAUAAUGCAUUGCCAACAAAAUUACUGUAACAUAAAAGAAUAGCCAUUUCUAUUACUGAAGUUAACUAUAUUCACUAGCAAUGAUGAGAAUUAUGUCCAUCCUAUCUCAAAUCAUGAAUUAUUUGCUUUGAAUUUAUUUUACUGUUUUGAAUAGUAGUUUAUAACAAAAAUCAAUGUCAUAUGAGUAUCUAAAUAAUAGAAAUAUCCUUUGUAAACAAUAAGAUACUGGGAGUCAGGAAUGUUUCCAACAUGCCUUGUUACCUUGACCCUCAAGGGGUUGUAAUCUCUCACCUGCUUCAGUGGUGUGCAUCUAUUAUUGGGAUAAACUCACAGAUUUAUAAGCCUCAUUAGGAAAGGAAGGAUCCAAAGUGUGUAGAACAAGCUUGUCCUUAUGCAGUCCAGGACAGCUUUGAACAUAGCCCAACACAAAUCUGUAAACUUUCUUAAAACAUAUGUGAUUUUUUUGCAAUUUUUUUUUUUUUUUUUUUUUAGCUGAUCAGCUAUUGUUAGUGUGUUUUAUGUGUUGCCCAAGACAAUUAUUCCAGCGUGACCCAGGGAAGCCAAAAGACUGGACAACCCUGGUGUAGAAUAUUAAUCUGACAAAUCACUUGUCAGAAGUAUGGGAUUUUUACCCACUAAAAACUACCUCUUCGUGGCCCGAGGUGGCUCAGAGAGCUAUCCCCACUUUGCUGUCAUGGGAACUAUGAAUCACAGUCUCAGAGUCUACAUCGAAGACCUCACAAAUCUGUGGAAAUCUGCCUAAUAAAGAUAUAAUAACUUGGACUUUUAAGAAUUCACUAAUUUGAUGACUUGCCACACAUGCGAUUAUGUUACCCUCAGAUGGUAAUGGAGGAAUGUUUUUCUGAAAGUGAUAAGAACACUAUGCACAUACGUUCAGGCCUAAAAAGACCGAUUGUUAUUAAUAUUAACAAAGAUAGCCAAGGCCUUUAGUGUUUUGUUUGUAAAAUCCCUUGCUUCAUUGAGGGCUAUGAGAGGAAGUAAAGACAGGCCUUCAGAGUAAUUAUUUUUCUUAUUCACUCAAUUCAUGCAGCUGAACAAUAGGCCUAUGUAGCACAAACAUUAAACAUUACUUUUUAGGCUAUCCCAAAUUGUUUAACAUACACAAUGUGCCAGGCCUGUGGUGGGUUCUAGAGAGCCACAAAGGCUCAAUUCCUGCCUUCAGAAGCUCACAUCCACUGGGCAGAAAGGUGAUUUCAUUGCUACAGAUUUCAAUGGUAACACAAGAAAAGAAUGACUCAUUCCAACUUUUGCAAUCAGGGAAAGCUUCCGGGGAACCAGUGGAGAUCUGGUUGGCCACUUACAAGCUGUGUGGCCUCAGGCAAAUUAGUUGACUCCCCAGUGCCUAAGGUUUGUAACACUUGCCACCCAGGAAUGAAAAUAACACCUUCCUCUAGGAUUGUUGUGCAUUCUUAGAAGAGAGUUUUGCACACAGGUUAGCUAGUAGUAACAGCAAUAAUAUUAGUGAUUAUGGUAGUAGAAUUACUU
rnacentral:lncRNA from 10 species